CAGUCAUUUAUUUAGAAGUCCCUGAAAGCUCUAAGUAUUGUAAAUAUUUUUCAAGCUUCUUAGCAAGAAUACCUAUAGCAACUUAGUAAGCAAUUACAAUGCAUCACCCACAUAACAUGCUGUAAACAUACUUCCAACUUUAACAGGUAGCUACCUUGUUAGAGAUUGUCCAACUGCRUUGGAGAAUCAAAAGGGGAGAGGACAAGGCUCUUGAAACUACAGUGUAGCCACUACCCUGCCCCCUUCCUGCCCUUUGCUCRAGGUCAGGGAAAACCGGCAUUUCAUUGUUAUUGUUGUUGUUAGUUAUGAAAACUGUAAUAAAAGUCGGAUCUGUUUAAAAAAAAAAAAAGACUUCAUUUUCUAAAUUAAAUUCAGUUCUUUGAACUAAAACAAAACAGUAACCAAAAGCUGUGUUUAGAGAAAAUUUCACUCCUGGUUUGCUAGCAUCAUCAGAUCUUCACAGCUAUGACUGGGACCACAUACAUGCAAUGGUGCUUCAUACUUUUUACAGUUGUUUUCUUGCUGUAUUAAGAUUCUGGAAUUGUUAAAGUAAGGUUACUCUACUUUAUCAGUAUAGAAAUAUUUUCGUUUCACCAGGGGAGGGAGGGAGGGGAGGAAAAUCAUAUGCUGGAAAGAAGCAUACUUGUGAAUACUUUGAUGGUGAAAUGGGUGGGUUUGUCUUUAGUAUUUUGGUUCUACCCCUUGAUUGUUCUGUUCUGCUGUGUGAAGGAGUAGGAUAAUAUAACACUGUGCUAAACAUUGGAAAAUGGAUAAGGACAAUGAACAAAGCAAGUGACAGGAAAUACAGAAAUUCCCUAGCAAGUAAAACGUAUAUGUCAGUGGUGUUGUAAGCACUUGCAUUUCCUAUCCUUUGAAGUCAAUAUGCAUGAAACCUCGCGUUUAAAACAGAAAUGGUCCCUCGAAGGUUGAGCAACUAAAUGCUAUAUAUUCAACUGGAAGGUGCAAAAAAGAAGGGAUUUUCUGUCAACUCAAAGGAACGUACCAAGUGGGUGUUCAUUCUGCAGCACUUGUUUUCAAAAUCUUUAACACAGUGCUAUGUGGAGUUAAGUUUAAUUUCUUGUGUGUCUGUAAAUUUGCUUUCGUUUGUUCUAAGCUUAAUCAUAUAAUGCAGCUUAUUUCAUGAGUCAUUUUUAAUUAGAGAAGACAGAGUUAAUGAAUGGUUGUUGGUAAGACUCUUGCAUUAUGGAGCAGUUGCACUGUGUGCUGUCAUAGCACCAUUAACGGUGUAAUAGGUCAUGAACACGUGUCUUGGAAUGAAUCUUGUGACAGGGAGGGAGGGAGGUGUUGUUUUAGGAUAGCUUGCUAUUCCAGUGCUUAGAUGACAAACUUUGAUAGAGUCUUUUUUUUUUUUUUUCCCCCUGCUGUGAUUUACUUUCAGUAGCCUCUUUCUUUGCCUUGACCUGAAAGGAAUUUGUUUCAAUGCCAUUGUCAAAGCCUUUGACAGUUUUCUAAAAAUAGUUAACAUCCCAAAUUGUGUCACUUAUACCAGAGGUUUUUGACUGUAUCUCUAGAUAAUGURAUUCAGUCUAUGCCUAAUGACUUUGCAGUUUCUUCUUUGAAACCAAUUAUAAGUGUGAGCUUAGAAAGUUUAGUUACUUGGUGAGUCUCCCAUCUAUCCUUUGCUUUCACUAAUUCAAUACAGAAUUGCAAAGACAGCUUUUCAGUUUGUGCUUACUGUGUUAAUGUUUCUGUAAAAUGGCUACAAACCUGUCAGUCAGCAGAAGAUUAGGUUUUCUUUCUGGAGUAGAAAUCUAGAAGACAUUAAAUUGGAUGGUUGAUGUAUCUUAUUUUGGCAAAUUAAUGGUUUUGGCCAUCACUCAUUUAUUUUUAAGGUUCAUUUUCCAAAACAGUCAUUAGGUAUGUYUGUUUAUUGUCUUAUAAUCUGGAGGACUUGACUGGAGGAUCCCAUACCUGGUCUCACAAAAUGCAGAGUUUCUUAUCAAGAUUCUGUCAUUAGUCGGAGUAGCUGUUUUCUGGACAAAAAGAUGAGAUUAUAGAGAAGUGCUAUAGACUUCAAGGCAUUCCUGUGUAUUUAGUGGGCAGAUGACUUUGGUCUGUGGGUUACCAGACACUGUCUUCUGUGGUGUUUGGGAUCACAUUUAGUCUAUGCUAGUUCUGGGUCUUUGCUUUGUGUUAUGCACUGUAUCUGCACAAUUCAAGUAAAUACAUUGCUUUACAUGCAUCUCUUUAGAGUCUUGUUAAGAAACAGUGAGGGGGUAAUCCCUUUUUUGCUUCCAUUUUACAUCAAGUUUUCUUUGCAUGGAAGCUAGAAAUCAAUUAAUAUUCAGGAAAGCCACCUUUGCACUUUUUUUGUCAGUUAAAUAAAACUAUCUAGAAGGUACUGACUACA
ensembl:lncRNA